rnacentral:rRNA from 1 species
ACCUGCCCUAUGAUUUUAUUAUUAAAUGGCUGCGGUAAUUUGACCGUACAAAGGUAGCAUAAUCAUUAGUUUUUUAAUUGAGAACUGGAAUGAAAGGUCGAACGAAAAAAAAACUGUCUCAAUUUAAUUUAAAUUAGAAUUUUAUUUUUAAGUUAAAAAGCUUAAAUAAUUUUAAAAGACGAGAAGACCCUAUAGAGUUUUAUAUUUUAAUUUUUAUAUAAAAAAUUAAAGAAUUAUUAUUUUUUAUAAAUAUUAAAAUAUUUAAUUGGGGCGAUUAAAAAAUUUAAAUAACUUUUUUUAAAUUUAAACAUUGAUUUAUGAAUAAUUGAUCCAUAUUUUUAUGAUUAUAAGAUUAAAUUA